CCAUGAGGAGUUGACGUCUGCCUCGAGAGAGCUCUUCUCUGGGCUGAACAAACCAACGGACCUCAGUGGCUCCUCCCACCCCUCGCCCUCCAGACCCUCCCUGAUCUUUGUAGGCUCCUCUUUGCUACAUCAUCAGGACAUCAGGUGAUGCUUAGAAGGGAUCUGUGUGCCUUUCUACAGGACUCUGAGUGACACAACUGUCCUGAGGUGGACUUCUGCCCUCCUGUAUGGGAAGAAACAGAAUAUCCCAAGCUGGAAGGGACCCACAAGAAUCACCGAGUCCAACUCUGGAUCUGCACAGGACCACCCAAAAUCUAUGUCUUAGAGCACUGUCCAAAUGUUCUCUAAGCUCCAGCAGCUCAAGGCCGUGCCCAGUGCCCUCUGGGGCAGAGCCUUUACACCAAACCAACCUGACACACUCCCUUGAUGCAGCUCCAUGCCAUUCCCUCAGGACCUGUCACUGUUACCAGAGAGCAGAGACCAGUGCUACCCCUCCACUCCCUCUGAGCAGCUGUGGGACACCAUGAGAGAGCUCUUCUCUGGGCUGAACAAAGCAAGGGAUCACUGACUCGUGUCUUGUGGCUGCUGACCCAAGAAGCAACGUAUCCAGAGCUCACUCUUUCUCUCUCCCUCCCACUUUUCUGGAGGAGGAUGGAUCCUCCUCCACCAAAGAAGCUUAAGCUUCAGGGGAGCAGCAGAGAGCCUAAAGAAAUGGAAAAUGAUCCUCCUAAAGAUGACGUCAAGCCCAUGGAGGUGGAUCUGCCUCUGGAGGCAGAGCCAAUGGAGGUGGAUCCACCUCCAUCAGGCCUAGGCAAAUGCUGUAACACCAUGCUUGUCUGGAGAUGUCAUCUCAUCUGUUGGCGACGCAGCAGGGGCUCUCGAUUUCCAUCUUGGCGUUGAAAUGUCAUCAUCUGCCAGAGAGCCCCUGCGACGGCUGCUGCUCCCUACCCUCUUCCUUUUCCAUUCUCCAUCUUUCCCUAAAACCUCUUCUCCCCUCUUCUUUCCCACGCUCUGAGGAAAAGAAAGGACUUGGACUGGUGUCCACUGAGCUGAGCUGGGACAGCAAGGAGGAGUCCAGAAGAAAGCCUCAAGAUCCCUGCAGCCUCCAGGUAAGCCCUAAGAGGGCGAGACUGGGACUGGUGUCCAUUAAGCAGCUGUGCUGGGACAAUAGGAGUGCAGCGGAUAACUCUGAGCUCCGUGCCACCUCCAGGUGAGCCCUGAGGAAGAGGGCAGGACAGGGACUGGCGUCCACUGAGCUGCUGUGGCUGGAACAAAAGAGGAGUCCAGCAGAUGGCCCUGAGCUCCUGGCAGCCUCAAGAAAAGCCCAGAGGAAGAGGGUAGGACUGAGAAUAGUGUCCACUGUGCUGUGCUGCCAAAUGAUGAAGAGCAUCACAUCACCCCCUUAAAUCUUUACAGAAAAGAGCAAUAACCCAAAGAAAGAACGCCUUCAGACACAAACACAGCAGAGGCCCAAGCCUCCCAAGCCUUCUGACUCGGAUACCACCAUGAUUACUGAGCUUUCUGAAGGUUUCACGUUUCUUGACAUCUUCCACGUGCCUUUCACUCCCAGAAGAGGUGAAAAUAAUCCACUAUGAUUCUUGCCAGACCAAAAUUGCACAAACGCUUGCUCAAAUUAAGGCCAGUUCCUCAUUAACAGGUCUGUCCCUGAAUUAACCCUUCUCAUUACCCAAAUCAGCAGCAUGGAUUAUGAAAAGAAGGCAUGAGAAGGAGUUGGGAUUACAUCUUACAGUGAGACUGCCUCGAGGCAACUUACAGCACUGCUGUGAACAUGUGAAAUCCUUCUUCCACUGAAAAGUCAGCUUGCCACAGGAUCUAAUGGAGCCAAGACGUUAGAUUUAUUCAGAGGCCUCCAAAAUCCUGAUUAUGCAGUUCAAUGAGUAUCCAUAUAAAUUAAAUAACAUUACUAGCCCAAGACAGGCAGCAGCAUUGAAAAGCCUUUUUCUUUUCCCAGUUAAUCUUCAGGUAUUCAUCUGGGUCCACAGAUCUGCCUGAAAAGUGUAGCAAGACCAGGACUCUUAUUUGGGGGACUAACAUCAGGAAAAUACAUUUUAGGAAAGAUUUGUGAUUGAACUGCUACAAAAAUUUGUUCCUACUCCUAUUAAUACCAAAUCACUCUCUGGAACUGUUCAACGACCUUAACUGCAUUAACAGUGACUUCUGUUUUUAUGCAGAUUGGAAAGAACAAAACCCUAACAACUGAGGAGGCAUAAAUCCACCUCCCCCACACUCUGGGUCUGCACCUAAUCAUUAUUAUUAUUUACCAUAUGAAAAGGAUGGAAAGAAACCAGACUUAGGUUUCCUUUUAGGUGUAGAUUUUAUGAAGAAAUAUCAGCUCCUAGAAACUUUGUCAUAGAUGCCCACGAACUCAGGAACUCAAGAGUCACCUCCGUUUGACUUAUGCUGAUUUUCUUGACCAAACUGAAACAAAACAUUGCUCCCCAACCCUGCAGUAGAAACUAGCUCAAGUCUGCCCUCUGCGUUCCAUUUUCUCAUUUUCAAGCCUUGCGUUUGAAUGCCUCUCUGCUAAAGCAUCUGUCACUUUCCUCUGGUCUUCAGCAUUUUUAGCUGUAAAAAAAGGGGAAAGAAAAUUCUUAGGUACUUUACAGGUUCCAGACAUUCACUAGGAAUGAUGCAUUCAGUGGUAGAACAUUUCCCUUCCAUAUUCUUGUCUCCCUGAGCUGCUGUUCAGCACACUGUGACCAUUAUAUGGCCUUAUAAUUCUCAGAGUUUACCAGAAAUUCGACAGAUUGAAUGGUCUCAUGUUUUUAUGGUAAGGAAAGGUAUUUUAAAUAUCACAACUGAAAAAGCUGCGCCGGAAACCUGUUACCUUAUGCAUGUUCCAGUUGACCUGUUCUAAUUCCCAACGCAGUUGCAAUUAUUUUAGGAGAGAAAACAUCACACACAUCUAAUUAUUUGGAUCAUUUUUUGCUUUGGACAGAUUGCAACAAUCUUACAUAAGCACUAUCACAAAGCAUUAGGGCAGUCUGGUUUUUUGACCCAUAUCUGAUCAUUUUGCAGCUCACGCAACUGUGCUUCCAGCGGUAGAUUCCCCCAUGCGAAGUUCCCAAAUGUGGUAAAUAAAGCCAUCUGUUGUGGAAGCCGGGUUUUAAAGUUAUAUGCCCCGUUAGCCACCGUUCUGCAUAUUCAUGC